AGGUAAGCUACUAAGAGCGAAUGGUGGAUGCCUUGACUGGUAAAGGCGAUGAAGGACGUACUAGACUGCGAUAAGCUACGGGGAGCUGUCAAGAAGCUUUGAUCCGUAGAUUUCCGAAUGGGGCAACCCAAUGUAUAGAGAUAUACAUUACCUAUAUAGGAGCGAACGAGGGGAAUUGAAACAUCUUAGUACCCUCAGGAAAAGAAAUCAAUAGAGAUUGCGUCAGUAGCGGCGAGCGAAAGCGCAAGAGGGCAAACCCAGUGCUUGCACUGGGGGUUGUAGGACUGCAAUGUGCAAGAGGUAAGUUUAGCAGAACAUUCUGGAAAGUAUAGCCAUAGAGGGUGAUAGUCCCGUAUGCGAAAAACAAACCUUAGCUAGCAGUAUCCUGAGUAGGGCGGGACACGAGGAAUCCUGUCUGAAUCCGGGUCGA
rnacentral:rRNA from 1 species